AGUGAACGCUGGCGGUAGGCCUAACACAUGCAAGUCGAACGGCAGCACAGUAAGAGCUUGCUCUUACGGGUGGCGAGUGGCGGACGGGGGAGGAAUACAUCGGAAUCUACUUUUUUGUGGGGGAUAACGUAGGGGAACUUACGCUAAUACCGCAUACGACCUACGGGUGAAAGCAGGGGAUCUUCGGACCUUUCGCGAUUGAAUGAGCCGAUGUCGGAUUAGCUAGUUGGCGGGGUAAAGGCCCACCAAGGCGACGAUCCGUAGCUGGUCUGAGAGGAUGAUCAGCCACACUGGAACUGAGACACGGUCCAGACUCCUACGGGAGGCAGCAGUGGGGAAUAUUGGACAAUGGGCGCAAGCCUGAUCCAGCCAUACCGCGUGGGUGAAGAAGGCCUUCGGGUUGUAAAGCCCUUUUGUUGGGAAAGAAAAGCAGCAGGUUAAUACCCCGCUGUUCUGACGGUACCCAAAGAAUAAGCACCGGCUAACUUCGUG
rnacentral:rRNA from 1 species